AUUGAACGCUGGCGGCAGGCCUAACACAUGCAAGUCGAGCGAGCGGCGGACGGGUGAGUAAUGUAUGGGGACUGCCCGAUAGAGGGGGAAAACUACUGGAAACGGUAGCUAAUACCGCAUACUAUCGGAUAACCGAUAUGGGAUUAGCUAGUAGGUGGGGUAAUGGCUCACCUAGGCGACGAUCCCUUGCUGGUCUGAGAGGAUGAGCAGCCGAACUGGAACUGAGACACGGCCCAGACUCCUACGGAGGCAGCAGUGGUGAAUAUGGGACCAUUGGCGCAUGCCUGAUACAGGCAUGCCGCGUGUAUGAAGAGGGCCUUAGGGUUGUAAAGUACUUUCCGUCGGGAGGCGUUACCGUCCGAAGAAGCGCCGGCUAACUCCGUGCCAGCAGCCGCGGUAAUAC
rnacentral:rRNA from 1 species